AUGGACAUGAGGGUCCCUGCUCAUCUCCUGGGGUUCCUGCUACUCUCUCUCCCAGGUUCCAGAUGUGACAUCCAGAUGACCCAGUCUCCAUCCUCCCUGUCUGCAUCUCUAGGAGACACAGUCACCAUCACUUGCAAGGCUAGUCAGGGCAUUAGCAAGUGGUUAGCCUGGUAUCAACAGAAACCAGGGAAAUCUCCUACACUCCUGAUCUAUGCAGCAUCCAAUUUGCACACCGGGGUCCCAUCAAGGUUCAGUGGCAGUGGAUCUGGGACAGAUUUCACUCUUACCAUCAGCAGUCUGGAGGCUGAUGAUGUUGGAACUUACUACUGUCAACAGCAUGAUAGUAACCCUCCCACAGUGUUACAAGCCUGA